AAUGAACGCUGGCGGCAUGCCUAACACAUGCAAGUCGAACGAGGGUCUUGAUUUCGGUUGGGGCCUUAGUGGCGCACGGGUGCGUAACGCGUGGGAAUCUGCCCUUGGGUUCGGAAUAACUCAGAGAAAUUUGAGCUAAUACCGGAUGAUGUCGCAAGACCAAAGAUUUAUCGCCCAGGGAUGAGCCCGCGUAGGAUUAGGUAGUUGGUGAGGUAAAGGCUCACCAAGCCGACGAUCCUUAGCUGGUCUGAGAGGAUGAUCAGCCACACUGGGACUGAGACACGGCCCAGACUCCUACGGGAGGCAGCAGUGGGGAAUAUUGGACAAUGGGCGAAAGCCUGAUCCAGCAAUGCCGCGUGAGUGAUGAAGGCCUUAGGGUUGUAAAGCUCUUUUACCCGGGAUGAUAAUGACAGUACCGGGAGAAUAAGCUCCGGCUAACUUCGUGCCAGCAGCCGCCGUAA
rnacentral:rRNA from 1 species